rnacentral:rRNA from 1 species
UACGAGGGGGGCAAGCGUUGUUCGGAAUUAUUGGGCGUAAAGGGCGCGUAGGCGGUGCGGUAAGUCACCUGUGAAACCUCUGGGCUUAACUCAGAGCCUGCAGGCGAAACUGCCGUGCUGGAGUAUGGGAGAGGUGCGUGGAAUUCCCGGUGUAGCGGUGAAAUGCGUAGAUAUCGGAAGGAACACCUGUGGCGAAAGCGGCGCACUGGACCAAAACUGACGCUGAGGCGCGAAAGCUAGGGGAGCAAACAGG